rnacentral:rRNA from 1 species
UACAGAGGGGGCAAGCGUUGUUCGGAAUUACUGGGCGUAAAGGGUGUGUAGGCGGUUCUUUAAGUUUGGCGUGAAAUCUCCCGGCUCAACCGGGAGGGUGCGUCGAAUACUGAGGGACUAGAGUACGGGAGAGGAAAGUGGAAUUCCUGGUGUAGCGGUGAAAUGCGUAGAUAUCAGGAGGAAUACCCAUAGCGAAGGCAGCUCGCUGGGACGGUACUGACGCUAAGGCGCGAAAGCGUGGGGAGCGAACAGG